UUCAACGAUCAUUUAAAUAGGAGGAAUUUCACCGUAACCCCGUACGUAUUCCUCCCUCCUCCCUACCUCCUCCUUCCUCCUCUAUCGAAGGAGAAGAACUUUCAUUGGUUCAACCGUAACCGUUGUUCAACCUCUCUACGUCAUUGAGAUGGCUGUCGUGGUGGGGAUUGGUCGGCCAUUCUGCCACUUGUUGUAUUGUUUAUGUUUAUACUUCAUCUUCAUUGUUUAUUGUCAUUGAAAUGCAAGUCAAGUUAAUAAGUAGCACGUGGAUUAUAUUAUGAUUAUUUUAUUACACGUGGUGUCAAUAUCAUCAUCAUGUAUACCGGUCAGUACCCUGAGCCUAAGGAUUGUCAUUCGACAAAAAUGGCGCUCACUGCCCUUGAUGAGCAAAUCUUAGCCAGGAGCGUAUCUCAAAUGAGUGUCAGCAUCCCAACGCCUUCAAAUAUCAACAACAGAGCUGCAUCAGCUCUGCCGUCCGGUGCACAUCUUCGAAGUGCUGGUAGGGGCAAGGUUAUGUCUUUAUACAUCUCUACUUUCCUCCAGGAAAGCUGCGGCAGUGUGCUCAAUGAUGGGAAUGAGGACUGCUCUUCAGAGGUGAGCGAUUCAACAGUUAUUGAAUGCAGCACCACUGUAGCAGAUCAGGAGAUACAAGCGGUUUUUAGUAGAAGUCCUUUGCUAAGCCCUGCCUGCAGUAAUAUUACUGUUGAUAGCCAAUCCAGUAUAUGUAACUCAGUCUUUGAAGACUGCCUCUCUCAGGGUAGCGACUCAACAAUCGAUGAUGGUAGUACUGUCAUAGUGGAACAGGAGAUACAAGCUGUUUUUAGGAGAAGUCCUUUGCUAAGCCCUGCCUGCAGUGAUAUUACUGUUGAUAGCCAAUCCAGUACAAGUAACUCAGACUUUGAAGACUGCCUCUCUCAGGUUAGCGAUUCAAUAAUCAAUGAUGGUAGCACUGUCAUUGUGGAACAGGAGAUAAAAGCUGUUUUUAGUAGAAGUCCUAUAUUAAGCCCCACCUGGAGUGAUAUUACUGUUAACUCUAGCCAAUUGAGUUCGCCUAAUCACUCUAAUUAUAAUAAUUAUCCUAGCAACCACGGCUCUUUCAUGCAAAAUCAGAACAAUUAUAAAAGAGGAAAUUCUCAAAAUUCUAGUAUUAAUCAGAACCAAUCCAGUCACUUUAAUGAACAGAAGGUUAGAGGAAAUUGCAGUUAUUCUGCUGGUAGAGGUUCUCACAAAAAUGUGGAUGGCAUUCAAUGUGGGGACUCGCUCUGUUUCCCAAAUCAUCUAGAUUUUCCUAGAAAUCAUGGAGCACCCCAAAUAAAUCAAAACACUGUUCGACAGGAAAAAUCUCAACAUCCUGGUUUCAAUCAAAUGCAAUCCCAUAACUUUAAUUAUGAGAGUAAUAAAGCCAAUCAUAGUCAUUUUGCUGGCAAAUAUUCGUACAAGAAUGAUGAUGUUCAAAAUGUAAACUCAAGGCAUUAUCAGAAUCAUUUAGAUUUCCCUAGGAACUGUGGACAACUCCAGGAAAAUCAAAAUACUCGUAGGUACCAAGAUGGAAAAUUGCAGUAUCCCAGUCCAAACCAGAGGAACUUCCUCAGUCAAAAUUUAGCGAGAGGUAGUGGUAGUCAUUUUGCUGGUAGAGUUUUUCCCAAGAAUGUAGAGAUAAAUGACUUUCAAAAUGAAAAUGUACACCGUUUCCCAAAUCCCUCAGAUUUUCCUAGAAAUCAUGGAGCACCCCAAAUAAAUCAAAACACUGUUCGACAGGAAAAAUCUCAACAUCCUGGUUUCAAUCAAAUGCAAUCCCAUAACUUUAAUUAUGAGAGUAAUAAAGCCAAUCAUAGUCAUUCUGCUGGCAAAUAUUCGUACAAGAAUGAUGAUGUUCAAAAUGUAAACUCAAGUCAUUAUCAGAAUCAUUUAGAUUUCCCUAGGAACUGUGGACAACUCCAAGAAAAUCAAAAUAUUUAUAGGUACCAAGAUGGAAAAUUGCAGUAUCCCAGUCCAAACCAGAGGAACUUCCUCAGUCAAAAUUUAGCGAGAGGUAGUGGUAGUCAUUUUGAUGGUAGAGUUUUUCCCAAGAAUGUAAAGAUAAAUGACUUUCAAAAUGAGAAUGUACACCGUUUUCCAAAUCCCUCAGAUUUUCCUAGAAAUCAUGGAGCACCCCAAAUAAAUCAAAACACUGUUCGACAGGAAAAAUCUCAACAUCCUGGUUUCAAUCAAAUGCAAUCCCAUAACUUUAAUUAUGAGAGUAAUAAAGCCAAUCAUAGUCAUUCUGCUGGCAAAUAUUCGUACAAGAAUGAUGAUGUUCAAAAUGUAAACUCAAGUCAUUAUCAGAAUCAUUUAGAUUUCCCUAGGAACUGUGGACAACUCCAGGAAAAUCAAAAUACUCGUAGGUACCAAGAUGGAAAAUUGCAAUAUCCCAGUUCAAACCAGAGGAACUUCCUCAGUCAAAAUUUAGCAAGAGGUAGUAGUAAGCCCAACAAACAGCCAGUUGGUAGAGGAAAACUAUUGAGUCAGAUAGAAUUUACAGAGCCAUCAUUUGGCAUCUCAGUAAGCCCGCGACCCUCUCGGAGCCCUGAUGAUGAUUUUCAGCUAACUUAUGGGAAUUUGUUCCGUUCGCUAUUUUUCAAUCCUUUGAAAAACUAAGAGCCAUCGGGCCAGUGCAAAGUUCCCUUCUCAAUUACGACACGCAAGACAAUUAAAAUUGCUCAUAUUAAUUGGAAUUUUGCCUUGUAUUUUUGCUCAGGAAAUUUUCUUUUAGUCUAUACUUAAAACCCUUGGAAAUAAUGUUAUCCCUCAUCUGUCUCUAUUAUUUCAUUCCCGACCUCUUAAAGUUCGACUUUGAUCCUCCAUGAUUGGUAACCUUUAUAGGGGGCAUCUGAGUGCUUUGAAUGGUUUUGUGUAGUUCAAUACAUAUAUCUAUUAACUCGUCGGCGAUUUCUUUCCAUGCACUAGCCAUAGUGCUUCAAUCUAAUUUAAUGGUCAAGAUUCGACCCAUACCUAGAAUAGAUUCCCCAGGUAAACAAAUUCUACAGCAUUUUUUCCAUAAUAAAAAAAAUAGGUAGGUAGGCACUUUUUCAUUUAUAGCCUUAAUCAACCCACAGUUUCACACAUGUUGAAAAAUUCAGAAAUUUCCUGUGGAAGUUACUUAUUUCAUAAGUUUUUAAUUUGUGAUAUGUAUAAAAAUUGUCGAAUUCUUCCUUGUUUUGAUUUGUAAUUUUAGAGUUACUUUUAUUUUAUUAAAACAAACAUUUUUCAGUGUUUCUUUAAAAUUUUUCGGGAGCCAACUUCACAAAGCAAAGAAAAAAAAUCAGAUUCAAGAUCCUCAAUGUCUCCCGUUCACUAUUUCUUGCUCUUUUAAGAAAAUUUAAACAUGAUAGAAAGUCUGAGAAGUCUUUGAACAAAAUUUUAAAACCAAGCAUUGGCUGAGCUGACUUUUUUUUACAAUCUUUGUUGAGAAACGCAAUCAUACCGGUCACAGCCAUCUUUUUACAUUAGUUUUAUUUACUUGUAUUUAUUCGGUUGUAUGUUAUCCUCAAAAAGCUUGUUUUGUCCAGGAAAGAGUCAAAGGUCAUAUCAUCUAAUUUGCCAUUGAAGAGACUACCAUUGGUGUUGUUGAUAACUCCCUCUUCUUUUUUAAAAUUUAUUUUUAUUGAUUUAUUUACUUAUUAAAUUUUUUUUUGCAUAAUAAUUGCAUUUUUCAAAUUUUAUGACAAAAUAUUGUACUUAAGUUAUCCUGAUUGUGCAUUUUUUGGGGUCAAUUUCUUAUUGAAUUAUUCUUAUGUAGAGAAACAAGUAUAUACAGGGAAAGAAUUUAAAAUAAUACUGAUUAUUGUUAUUGUCAAUUGCUUUUCCAAUGAAAAAAUAUAAUAGAAAAACUUCAAAGUUUCCUAGUACCUUUGAUGAAAAGAUUUUGAAGUUGAGAAGUAUGAUGUGUAAUGCAGUUGCAUUUUAAGUGAAAGAUUUUUUGUAACAUUUUGAUUGGAAGUGCCACUUCUCUCAUCGCAUGUAUGAUAUGAUUGAAAAUUUUUGAAGGUACAAAAUUAGAUGUAUAUACUUUAACCAAGACCUGAGCACCUAGUCGUCAGUCAACUUUUUGUUGAAAAGUUCUGUCUCACUCAUCAGGGUUCUAUUUCCACUUAGGUAAGUCAUGAUUUACACAUCAAUAUUUAUUUUUACAAAUGACCUAAUCACAGUUUAUUUUGUAUGCUAAAGAUAAAAUUGCUGUUCAUUUUCAUCCGCAAAUUUCGAUCUUUUAUGGUGGGUUUAUUUUUUGGGCCAUCAUUCAUCUGGGGACGGGAUUUUUUCAAUGCUUUCAGCUGCUCCUCUUAAUCUACUGUCCAUCCUCUAGUAGCAUUGUAAGCACUGUAUAACGCGUAAUUUUACCGCUUUAAUUUUUUUUUUUUUUGGUCUUUAUCUUUGUUCUGUGUUUUGUGUAUGUGUUUUUAAAUGAAUCAGUGAGAACGAAAACACCAACUCGGGAAAAUGAAAAUAAUCAAGACACGCGCAAAACUACACAGAAGGUGAAGAAGUUAGUUUAAGAAAAAGAUUUUUGCUGCCGAAAGACAAGUACUCAUGGACACUAUAAAGGUCCAAGAUGGAACAGAUGCGCUAACUUCAAUGCCUUUUAUGUAAAUUAACUGUCUUCAAUGAAAAUUGAUCAUUUUCGAAUUACCGAGUUGGUGUGUUUUCGUUCUCACUGAUUCAAAUCUUUUGUUAACUACAACUUCAACACCCAGUAAUGUACCUGUUGAAUAAAUCUAUCAUACUCAUCAUAGUUACGCAUAUGUUAAAAUUAAAGUUAUUAUGUGGAAUGACAGUUUUCUGCAUAGAUACCUACUUGCCAAUCAUUUUGAAUUUUGUAGGCUAAGGAAAUAAUGGUCGUACCUCUUAAACUGCUAGGAAAGAGCCUAAAAUUGAAGCUGCUGUGAACUGCAGUUUUCAAUAAAGCACCUGUUUUCCUGCAAAGGAACCUCAGGGCAAACCUGUGAUCUCGCAAUGAGGCUUUGGCCAAUACUUAAGUUACCUACCGAGCUUGCCUUCUUUUGUUGAUUUUGUUGUAUUUUAAUCAAGAAGACUGCAACAAUGUACUUUAUUAAUUAGAGUUUUCCACUUUGGAUCAAGCAUGUUUUUAAUUUAUGAAUAAACUUAUAUGUUCUUAAUUUAAAUGACUUUUGUACCAUUUUCCUUUGAAACGACUCACUUUUGCCUGUUUAACCACAUAAUACCCUGAAAGCAGUCCUUGCUGACACAGAUCUCCUCUCCGUUUAAGUUCACAGAAAAACUUUUUUUUUUUUUUUUGCCAUGGUCGCUCCUCCAUUUUUAAGUAUGUAAAUACUUGGUCAUUAUUUUAAAUUUAUAUCUAAAUUAUCUUAAAUUUAUUUUUGACCAAUUUCGCUUCAAUUUUUGAAUAUUAUUUGUGAAAUAUACCCAGCUGUUCAAUUGCAAUUAUUUCUCUCCAGUCUCCACUUUUGAAAGCUCUAUUACAUCGAAAAGCAGCCCUAGGAAGAAAUGUUAAGGUGAUUCGUCAAGUACAAGUAACGUGGUCGAACUGGCAUGCGAUAUAUCGCGCCUUUGAGGUCAAAAUUCUCGGCAGAUUUUGAAUUUUCAGCAAAAAAAAAGGACGAUAGCCCCUAUGCGCAUGAGCCUAAAGAAUCAUUCUAAACCCAAAAAUCGGCAAAAUUCAAAAUGAAAUGAAAGCAGGAUUUUUGCUGAAAAUUCAAAAUCUG
rnacentral:lncRNA from 1 species